rnacentral:lncRNA from 1 species
AAUAUCUUCAGCACUUGAAUGUGUCUGACAGUUUGUUUUUGUCUAUGGUGUGUCCUUGAAGGUGAUUGGUGACAUGGACGGGGCAGAGCCUCCACUCAGCACUUUGCCCCGCCCAGGUCAGAGGACACCAGAGGUGAACCAGGAAGACGAAGGGACAAGCUCCACCCUCCAACUCAGAGAGAGGAAAAGGAGGAAGCCUGUUUGGCGUACUCAUCGCGUCGAGCCAGUAGGAGACAGUGGGCAUGGCUCGAGCUGCACUACAAGGCCUUAGCCACUAAUGUCACUGUGAAGUGAAACAAAGCAGGAGAGGACACCCAGAAACCUCGACCUGUGUGGCGUGAAGGCGGAAAAAAACACAACAAACAAGACAAAUGGGUAUUUAUUUGACUAAAAUAACGCCUUGGCCAUAAAGAGAAAUGAGGAAUGAUGUGUCAUAUUUGUGCUCUGGUUAAAAGAUGACUUGUUUCAUUGGACAUUGAAAUUUCAUGAAUAUAUUUCCAAAUGCCUGGAAAAAGAGAAUUCAUCAUUAAGUUUGUGCGGGCUAUAAUGUCACGUUAGGGAUUAUUCAAUUUCCUAAUGUAUUGUGCAUGUCACUAUGGCUAGUGAUGCAUACCUUCCUGGGCCCCUUGAGAGGGAAGGUGUGGGGUGUACAUUACUGGUUGGCAAAGAUGGAUGCCAGAGUUUUGGGCCUCAUCAUAAAACUACUUAAGACAUAAAACUACUCCUAAUCCUAACUAUGUUGACCUCAACAUUUCUUCAACUUAGACGGUCUCCCUAAAUAUUACUGUUCUUAACCACGACUUUCCCAACUAGGACUUUUCUGUUUGCGGAGAACGGCCGCUGGAUCCUAAUGGCUGAAAGUCUUCAGCACAGAGUCAUCUGGAGAGACAAGGCACAGCGGCUCCUUAGAUGAUUAAAAAGUAAUUUUCUUAACUGUCCUCAUAGGAUUUGUAAAAAAAUAAAUGUUCAAAAAUAACAUUAAAUUGCUCCAAUCAAGCAUAAACGUCUCCUGCUCGUGGUGAAAUUUGUACUGCUGUUCGCAUGGUGUGUGGUUAUUUGUCAUCGUUUUCCUUUGGCGCUUUUCCAAAGGCGCUUUUGCCCUGAUCAACAAUUAAUGGUGCGAUUGUUUCUCUGUUACUUAUGGCGGAUGAGACAGAUGCAGGUUUGCAAAAAACUGGAAUAGUAAUGAACAAGAAGAAAUGUGGGACAGUGAAGGUCAAAAUGUUGGAUAUUCUCUCGGUGCUGUAUGUGACACAAAGAAUAUAACACUUCUCUAUUGACUUACCUGAGUGUGUUUACUUCUGUUUUUCUAAUCAUUCCCGAAUGCACUUUGCAAAAGUACUACUAAUAGUAGCAAAAUCAUGUUUACAAAUAGAGGAGAAGAAUGGAGAAGCAC